UUGAGUCCAAAAUGCAUGUCAUGAUCAUUAAGGCUAGUUAUAUAAAAAAAAUAAAAAUAAAAAACUCUUCCAUCUGUCUUUCGACAGGGGGCAUUUUUUGUUAAUACUUGUUUCUUUGCAUCAUUUGUGUCCUUCACUUUGAGUCAGUCCUUGACAAAACAAGCAAGAAAAGAUUUCAAAAUCUGCUACCAGCUUUUCAGUUGCAUAAAGUAAAAUUGGCCUGCACUCAGUUGUUAUUGUCAAUAUACCUUGAAGAUUCAUACAAAGGCUUCCCCAAAAAGACUCUUCUCAGCCUAAUCGGUGCAAGAAAGAUAACUGGUGAUUCUCUUUGAUAGAAAAAUUUCUCAAAAAGCAGAAAGCCAUUCAAGAUAUCGGAAAAAGUCACCUAAGCAAAGAUCUCCAGUUGGGAUAAGACAGAUCGAGCCGCAAAUACAAAUGGUACUGGGUGUGAAGCAAUUAGGGUUGAUGCAGAGCAAAAGUCUCCUAAAGCUGACUCAAGCUGAUUGAGCAGAAGCCAAGCUGCCCAAAGACUCAAGGCCACAAACCGACCACCAUUUUCAAAAUUGACAUAUUUUUCUUUGUAUGAAACAGGAACAAAGCGGUGCAAGGAAAGUGAUUCAAAAGGAGAAAAAAUGAAAAAAAUAAAAAAAAUAAAAAAAGAGAAGAAAAAGAAAAGACGAGAAGAGCCGACAAAGGGAAGUUUCUCAAAUCUUUGUCUUUAUUUGUCUUGCUAUUGUGCAUAAAAUCUUGCCAUUGAUCUUCACAUUUUUUCUCCUAGGAUAAAAAGUCCUAGUCUGAUGGAUUUUCCUCCCAAUCGAAAUCUUAGUCUGAUGAAUUUUUCUCCUAAGAUAGAAAACCUAGUCUGAUGAAUUUUCUCCUAGGAUCGAAAUCUUAGUGUGAUGAAUUUUUCUCCUAAGAUAGAAAACCUAGUCUGAUGAACUUUCUCCCAGGAUCAAAAUCUUAGUCUGAUGAAUCUUUCUCCUAAGAUAAGAAGACUUAGUCUGAUGAAUUUUCUCCUAGGGUAAACGUCUUAGUCUGAUGAAUCUUUUUCCUAAGAUACCAAAAAAAC
rnacentral:lncRNA from 1 species